UCAGAUGGCCGGAUGACUGCUGCUACAAUUGGGAAACCUAGUAGGGGAGGAAAGUCCGGGCUCCACAGGAUCAGGAUGCCGGGUAACGCCCGGCGGGGGCAACCCUAGGGAAAGUGCCGCAGAAAAUAUACCGCCUUCAUUUUGAAGGUAAGGGUGAAAUGGUGCGGUAAGAGCGCACCGCCGAACUGGUAACAGGACGGGCAAGGUAAACCCCAUCCGGAGCAAGACCAUGUAGGGACACGUGCCGCAUUUCGGUGCGGCUGGUGCGGUCCUGCACCGAUGUCCGGGUAGGUCGCUAAAAGCGGUUGGUAACAGCCCGCCAUAGAUGAAUAGUCAUCACCAUAUUUCGAUAUGGUACAGAACCCGGCUUACAGGCCAUCUGACAGC
rnacentral:RNase_P_RNA from 1 species